AUGAUCGGUCUAAGUCUCCAAGGAACCCCACAAAGUCCUUGAACCGUAUUGAUAACCAGUUUUGAAUUACCUCAGUACCAAACCAAGCAUUUUUGUCUCGCACAUUUAAGUGCUUCCCUCAAAGCCAUGGCUUCUACUACUGAGAUAGUAGUUUCACCUUGGUCCAAAGCUCUCCAACAAUGAUAGAUUGACCUUUAUCAUGUCUAAUCACAAAACUUGAAAGAGUUGUGCUAAGAGGAGAGAGUUAGGUCAUCUCUAUUUGAGCUGGUCAUAGGAUCAUAGGCCAAAGAAUAGCCAUUUUUGACUCAAAAUCCAUCUCCAAUUGAGAUCUAGUCCAAAAAAUGACACACCCUGUCCCGAAGGAGGGCAUGCUGGCCGUCACAUGAGAGUGACGUAACCAUUUAUACAGUUCGGAAGCUUUUA
rnacentral:lncRNA from 1 species